ACAGCCCCUAAGCUUCCCAAUAAACAUGAGCAGUAGUGUAGUCCUAACUCAUUUCUGGUUCGGGAUAAGGAUGGACUAAAACAGAUUAAUCUUCAUGGAUCAACAUUCAAUGAUGAUCCAAGGACACUGCUGGCUUCAACAUGAACCUCGAGUGAGAAGGCUCGCAGCUGGGGUGGUAGCCUUCUUCUUGUGAGAGAGAUCCUAAAGGAAAAGAAGAAAAAGGCUUAAAGAGUCCCCAGUAGUCCACAUUUGCCACCAUCUUGAAACUCCCUGUGAAGAAAAGGCUCCAGCCAGGAUUUGGACUCUUCCAUAGAUGGGACAGAGCAGAUCACCAACAGAGCAGCAGUGAGCCCACACCAAGCCUUGCUUCACCUGUCCAUGGAACCUGUGGUUGGCACCCACCAGGGAAAGGCAACGGAAUGAAGGGGAAAGAGCACUGAAUCUGAGCUUCAGUCCUGCCUCUGGCACAUGCGCAUGUCCAAAAUUACCUGGGUCAGUGUCUCACAAGGGAUAUAUGGGAACCAAAUCAGAUGACACGUUUUGUAACCAAAGGAUCAAGUUCAAAUUCCUUACAUUCGCAUUUUUAACUCACUUUGUAAUAUAACCUUCCUUUCCAACCUUUAUAUACACUUAGGUUUUAAGCUGUAACAAAUCUACUUUUUAUAAAUGUGCUGCAUGAAUGAUGUACUUUGGAGUCUUGUGCAUGCUAUUCCUUUCGGUUAUGUUUUUGCCUCAGUCCAUUUGUCUACCGCUUAUUUCCUGGACACUCAGCUUUAAGACUUCAUCUCCAUAAAGUACUUGUACAUGCCUCUCUUACAGCACUUUACAUGGUGUACUAUAUCUUGUCCAUUUUUAUUUUUUACCUGUCUUCCUGGCUAGAAGGCAUUCUUACUACAUAAGAAUCUUAAAGAAAGACAUGGCUAUUGAAGGCAUUUAACAAAGCCUUGGGAAUACAUUUCACGUUGUUGCAGAUGGCCUCUAAUUAAUAAAUAUCUAUGAGAAAAUUAUUUGUGAAAGAAAGAUGACAGGGUAUACAAACACUUCUGGUUAAAUGGAGAGUUUGUGUUAGAAUUUAAAAGAAUAUUUACUGGAGUCAGAGCUGUGGCUUAGUGGGUAAAUCUGCUGCCUGCAGAGCCUAGCAUCCCAUAUGAGCAUGGGUAUGAGUCCUGGUUGCUCUACUUCUGAUCCAGCUCUCUGCUAAUGGCCUGGAAAAGCAGUGGAGGAUGGCCCAAUUCCUUGGGCCCCUGCACACGUGUGUGGAAGAUCCGGAAGAAGCUCCUAGCUCCUGGCUUUGGAUCAGCGCAGCUCUGGCCAUUGCAGCCAUUUGGGGAGUAAACCAGAGGAUGGAAGAUUUCUUGCACUCUCUCUCUCUCUCUCUCUCUCUCUCUCUCUCUCUGUAACUCUGCCUUUCAAAUAAAUAAAUAAAUCUUUGAAAAAAGAAAAAAAAAAAGGAAUAUUUACUGGGGCCAGAGCUGUGGCACAGUGUGUAAAGCCACUGCCCGUGGCACCAGCAUCCCAUGUGGGUGCCAGUUGGUAUCCAGCUUCUCUUCUGAUGCAACUCUCUGCUUUGGUCUAGGAAAGCAGUGGAAGAUGGCCCCAGUACUUGGGCCCCUGUACCCACGUGAGAGACCUGGAGAAAGCUCCUGGCUCCUAGCUUCAGAUCAGCCCGACUCUGGCCAUUACAGCCAUUUGACCAGUGGAUGGAAGAGCUUUUUCUCUGUCUCUCCCUCUCUGUCUGUACCUCUGCAUCUCAAAUAAAAAAGGAAGGAAGGAAAGAAAGAGAAAAGAGGGGCCAGCGCUGUGGCGCAGUGGGUUAACACUGGCCUGAAGCACUGGCAUCCCAUGUGGGUGCUGGUUCGAGACCCGGCUGCUCCACUUCCCAUCCAGCUCUCUGCUAUGGCCUGGGAAAGCAGUAGAAGAUGGCCCAAGUCCUUGGGCCCCUGCACCCACAUGGGAGACCCGGAGGAUGCUCCUGGCUCCUGGCUUCAGAUCAGUGCAGCUCCAGCCAUCGUGGCCAAUUGGGGAGUAAACCAACUGAUGGAAGACCUCUCUCUCUCUCUCUCUCUCUCUCUCUCUCUGCCUCUCCUCUUUCUGUGUAACUAUGACUUUCAAAUAAAUAAAUAAAUCUUUAAAAAAAAGAAAGAAAAAAGAAAAGAAAAGAAAAGAAAAGAAAAGAAUCUUCAAAAAUGAAGAAAAGACUAUUUACCUAUAAGUGUGUUUAUGUUGGCACUGUGCUCUGUCAAGGGCCAGACGGAAGUCAGAGAAGUGAGGAGCAUGAGGAGAGGCCCUGUGGAACCAGAACCAUCUGAAGAGGGGCAGAGUCCCACAUCCCCAUUCACACUCUGCCCUGCUCAUGUGUUCACUGGGGCAAAUGUUGAGUAAAAUCUUCCACCCUACUCAAAGUCUUCUUCAUUUCAAGCUGAUGCAACAUAUAUGGUUGAAUUUUAUGAGCAAGAUACACAUAUGAUGUGGCUCCACUUAUCAUGUUUUGAAUUUGAUAUUUAUAACUACAGCCAGAAUCCUUCAAGAAGCUACUCUCCAAUCAGACUUGUAAACUGCCUCCCCACCAAAUGAAUCACAGAGAAUAAAAAUUAUGACAUGAACUUUGUUAAAUGUUUACAAAAGAAAAAUGUGGACUAAAAUGGUGAGACUGACAAGGGUAUUAAGGUCUUAGAGAAACAGAUCUCUAGCAGUAAUAAGAUCUUAACUAAUAACUUCUCUUUGCUUAUGGUUAACACUUAUGUUUUCUCAAGUACUUUCAUACAUUCAUUUAUCUUCUCUGCCUUCCUGAGAAGUAACAGCCAAGACCAAGUUUAGGGAAAAAGGAAACUCAAAGGAUGGAUACAAAAAGUAUCCCAAAGCCUCACUGGCCAAGAGGCCUUAGAGCCUACUGAAGGGUCAAGGUUCCUCUCACCUCGUCGUGUUCCUCCCCUUUCCAUCACAGGAGAGAAUUUCUGCAAAGUUCCCUUAGCUGCUUGGCCAAAUCUGCCAAAAGAGGAUCACAGUUGCCUUCACCUUCACCUUCAUCUUCAUCUACUGAAAUUUCACCAAUCAGAGAAGACUAAGCUCAUAUCACAGGAAGAAAGAUCGAAGUCUGUCAACACAUUUGGGCUGACUUUGGUCAAACACCAUUGUCUAUUCUUCUGGGCCAACUCAUUUGCUCUAAAAAUGAUUCUCAAUAUUCCUCAAUAUUGCCUACAUCUUCAUUUCCCUCUCCCUUAUGAAGAAGAUAUUUAAGCUUCAUUUUCUGACCUUUUCUUUUCGUCUUGGACUUUGGGUAUAACUUCCCUGUUUCUGUAUGUUUUGUAUUCAUAUGUUCAUUUUCCUCUGUCUAUUGUCAGUUUUAUUUCAAGGACCAAAAUCAAACCUUCACAGGGAAAUUUUUAACUUCCUUACAAAUCUAAAAAGAUGUACUAGUAUCCAGUAGAAAAGUUUAAAUGUACGAAAACUUGUCCUAGAAAGCAGCUUAGACAGAGCAAGGCAUAUUCAGUUCAGGAUUGAUGAAUAAAUAAGUAAUAGAAGAAAAAACUAGUAAGGUACUUAAAGAAACAGAAAACACACCCAGAAAAGAAUUCAUAGCCAACAGAGUUUCACUGUAAGAAAUAUUCAAGGACAUUUCUUCAGGCUAAAGGAAAAUGAUAAAGGUGAAAACACAAGAAGCAAAGAUGUUUUGGAAAAGGUAAGUAUGCAGAUAAGUACAAAGGGAUAUUUACUGUCUGAUGCAAUAGCAAUGGCCCUGUCUUGUGGGGCUGAUAACAUAUAGAAGUGUACGACAAAAAUAGUGGAAUGACAGGGAUGGAGUAGAGUGCAAAGAAAGUACACAGUUCCAAAUGUUUUGCAUUGUUGGAAAAGUAGCAAAGAUAGACCAUAAAUAAAUCAAAAAAAAUUUAAAGCCUGUCUUAAGUCUGAGCUACUCAGCUUCAAACCCAGCUUUCUGCUAAGGCACACCCCGGAAGACAGCAGAUGAUACCUUGAGUCCUUUGUCCCUUCUAGCCACGUGGGAGGUCUAGGUUGAGUUCCAGCUCCUAGCUUUGGUCUGGCCUCAUCCUGGUUGUUGCAGGCAUGUGGAGAGUGAACCAGUGGAUGAAAGAAUUCCUUUCCUCUUUCCCUCUACUCUUCUUUCAAAUAAAAUUAAAUAAAUAAUUUGUAACUGUGGUGGAAUGAGAAGGCCAUGCCAAGAUUGCCGAUGGCAAGCGAGGAUCAGUUACUCAGGAAUGGCUUUGAAACCCACCUGGCAAUGGAGCCUGCCUGGCAACAGGCUGUGAUUGGUUAGGGCCCUUGAUCGGAUUGGCUGUCUCAGCUAUAUAAGCUGCUGUACUUACUGAAAUAAAUGAGUCUGUGAGCUGCUCUCCAGCCUGCUUUCACCCACUUCCCAGUGUCUCUGUCGUGACUCCGCACCUUUUGCCCCCACCGCACUCCUCCUCUCAGAACGAAUCCCCAGCAACAUGUAACAAAUAUCCAUCCUAAAAUGUUAGCAUAUGUUUUAUAAUUUUUUGAUAAUCACUGAAGCAGUGAUAUUAAAAAGUAUAACAGGAGCUGGCAUUAUGGAGCAGAGUUAAGCCACUGCCUAGGAUGCCUGCAUUCCAUAUUGGAGUGCUGGUUUGGGUUCCACUGUUCUACUUCCUACAGCUUCCUGCUAAUUCACCUGGAAAAACAGCAGAUCCUGGCACAUGUACUUGCAUGCCUACCACCCUUGUGGAAGACCCGGAUGGAGUUCCUGGU